AUUGAACGCUGGCGGCAGGCUUAACACAUGCAAGUCGAGCGGUAGCACAGGGGAGCUUGCUCCCUGGGUGACGAGCGGCGGACGGGUGAGUAAUGUCUGGGAAACUGCCUGAUGGAGGGGGAUAACUACUGGAAACGGUAGCUAAUACCGCAUAACGUCGCAAGACCAAAGAGGGGGACCUUCGGGCCUCUUGCCAUCAGAUGUGCCCAGAUGGGAUUAGCUAGUAGGUGGGGUAAUGGCUCACCUAGGCGACGAUCCCUAGCUGGUUUGAGAGGAUGACCAGCCACACUGGAACUGAGACACGGUCCAGACUCCUACGGGAGGCAGCAGUGGGGAAUAUUGCACAAUGGGCGCAAGCCUGAUGCAGCCAUGCCGCGUGUGUGAAGAAGGCCUUCGGGUUGUAAAGCACUUUCAGCGAGGAGGAAGGUGGUGAGCUUAAUACGUUCAUCAAUUGACGUUACUCGCAGAAGAAGCACCGGCUAACUCCGUG
rnacentral:rRNA from 1 species